rnacentral:rRNA from 1 species
CCCUUAGAGUUUGAUCCUGGCUCAGAUUGAACGCUGGCGGCGUGCCUAACACAUGCAAGUCGAGCGGUAACAGGUGUAGCAAUACAUGCUGACGAGCGGCGAACGGGUGAGUAAUGCUUCGGAAUCUACCCAAUGGUGGGGAAUAACCAGCCGAAAGGUUGGCUAAUACCGCAUACGUCCUACGGGAGAAAGCAGGGGAUCGCAAGACCUUGCGCCGAUGGAUGAGCCGAAGUCGGAUUAGCUUGUUGGUAGGGUAACGGCCUACCAAGGCGACAAUCCGUAGCUGGUCUGAGAGGACGACCAGCCACACUGGGACUGAGACACGGCCCAGACUCCUACGGGAGGCAGCAGUGGGGAAUAUUGGACAAUGGGGGCAACCCUGAUCCAGCGACGCCGCGUGUGUGAAGAAGGCCUGCGGGUUGUAAAGCACUUUUAGUGGGGAUGAAAAGCUCAGGGAUAAUACCCUUGGGUCUUGACCUAACCUACAGAAAAAGCACCGGCUAACUCUGUGCCAGCAGCCGCGGUAAUACAGAGGGUGCAAGCGUUAAUCGGAAUUACCGGGCGUAAAGCGUGCGUAGACGGUUACGUAAGUCAGAUGUGAAAGCCCCGGGCUCAACCUGGGAACUGCAUUUGAGACUGCGUAGCUAGGGUGCGGAAGAGGGAAGCGGAAUUUCCGGUGUAGCGGUGAAAUGCGUAGAUAUCGGAAGGAACACCAGUGGCGAAAGCGGCUUCCUGGUCCAGCACCGACGUUC